rnacentral:tRNA from 1 species
GCCGGAGUGGCGGAACUGGUAGACGCGCUUGAUUCAAAAUCAAGUUCGCUCCGCGCGAGUAAGGGUUCGAGUCCCUUCUCCGGCA